GACGAACGCUGGCGGCGUGCCUAAUACAUGCAAGUAGAACGCUGAAGGAGGAGCUUGCUUCUCUGGAUGAGUUGCGAACGGGUGAGUAACGCGUAGGUAGCCUGCCUGGUAGCGGGGGAUAACUAUUGGAAACGAUAGCUAAUACCGCAUAACAGUAGAUAUCGCAUGAUAUCUACUUGAAAGGUGCAAUUGCAUCACUACCAGAUGGACCUGCGUUGUAUUAGCUAGUUGGUGAGGUAACGGCUCACCAAGGCGACGAUACAUAGCCGACCUGAGAGGGUGAUCGGCCACACUGGGACUUAGACACGGCCCAGACUCCUACGGGAGGCAGCAGUAGGGAAUCUUCGGCAAUGGACGGAAGUCUGACCGAGCAACGCCGCGUGAGUGAAGAAGGUUUUCGGAUCGUAAAGCUCUGUUGUAAGAGAAGAACGAGUGUGAGAGUGGAAAGUUCACACUGUGACGGUAUCUUACCAGAAAGGGACGGCUAACUACGUG
rnacentral:rRNA from 1 species